AAGUCGUAACAAGGUUUCCGUAGGUGAACCUGCGGAAGGAUCAUUACCACGUAUCCACGUAUCACCCCGUGCACUGUAAACUACCGCCCUGUCCAUUACCCGAGUUAGGAAGGUCGCAAGAAGUUUGAAUGGGGCCGCAAGGCCGCUUCUUGUCACUAUUAUAUACAACUUUAGUAGUGGCCAGGCAAACUCUAUUGCCGAAGUCUCCAUUCAAGAUGGAGGCAAUAGAACCAUAUUAACAAUUUUCACCCCUUUUUUGCUAGUUGGUUUAUCUGUUGUAUGCUUCUCGUGAUUCACUUUCAUUGGACAUACACACGUUUAAUUAUUUGAACGUAAAAUUACAACUCUUAGCAAUGGAUAUCUAGGUUCUC
rnacentral:misc_RNA from 1 species